GACUAUAGAAAUAAUAUCAUUAGCUAUAAUCUUUAUUGACUUGUUAAAACAUAAAGGUGCACAUACAACAUGUACAGGUACUAUUAAUUAAUGGAACUGAUUUCAUAUUUCGGUGAUGUUUUAAGUCCUGAUUUCUUAA